UGGCCUACCAAGGCAACGAUGGGUAGCCGGCCUGAGAGGGUGUCCGGCCACACUGGGAUUGAGAUACGGCCCAGACUCCUUCGGGAGGCAGCAGUCGAGAAUCUUCCACAAUGUACGAAAGUAUGAUGGAGCGACGCCGCGUGUGUGAUGAAGGCUUUAUGAGUUGUAAAACACUGUCAGAGGGGAAGAACAAGCGUAUAAAUAAUAAGUAUACGCUCUGACGUACCCUCAGAGGAAGCUCCGGCUAACUCCGUGCCAGCAGCCGCGGUAAUACGGAGGGAGCAAGCGUUGUCCGGAAUCAUUGGGCGUAAAGGGCACGUAGGCGGUUCGGUAAGUCGAAUGUGAAAUCUCAUGGCUUAACUGUGAAACUGCGUUCGAAACUACCGAACUUGAGUACUGGAGAGGUAUGCGGAAUUCCUGGUGUAGCGGUGGAAUGCGUGGAUAUCAGGAAGAACACCAGUGGCAAAGGCGGCAUACUGGCCAAGUACUGACGCUGAGGUGCGAAAGCGUGGGGAGCAAACGGGAUUAGAUACCCCGGUAGUCCACGCUGUAAACGAUGGGUACUAGGUUUUGGGGGUCUCAACCCCCUCAGAGCCGCAGCUAACGCAUUAAGUACCCCGCCUGGGGAGUACGGUCGCAAGGCU
rnacentral:rRNA from 1 species